rnacentral:rRNA from 1 species
GACGAACGCUGGCGGCGUGCUUAACACAUGCAAGUCGAACGGAAAGGCCCUGCUUUUGUGGGGUGCUCGAGUGGCGAACGGGUGAGUAACACGUGAGUAACCUGCCCUUGACUUUGGGAUAACUUCAGGAAACUGGGGCUAAUACCGGAUAGGAGCUCCUGCUGCAUGGUGGGGGUUGGAAAGUUUCGGCGGUUGGGGAUGGACUCGCGGCUUAUCAGCUUGUUGGUGGGGUAGUGGCUUACCAAGGCUUUGACGGGUAGCCGGCCUGAGAGGGUGACCGGCCACAUUGGGACUGAGAUACGGCCCAGACUCCUACGGGGGGCAGCAGUGGGGAAUAUUGCACAAUGGGCGGAAGCCUGAUGCAGCAACGCCGCGUGCGGGAUGACGGCCUUCGGGUGGUAAACCGCUUUCGCCUGUGACGAAGCGUGAGUGACGGUAAUGGGUAAAGAAGCACCGGCUAACUACGU